CCCGAGCAGGAAAAUAAUAGGCAGGGCAGAUCACUCAGGGCUGGCGUAUCAGGAGCUGACAGCUUCGUCUAGCCAACCCAUUCCCAUUCCAGCAUGAGGAAUGCAAGGAAUCUAAGGGAGGCAGCAGAACACCUAAGAACUGUGCUGCUGCUGGACCGUGGAUCACACCUGGAGAGCCUGAAGAAAGCUUCCGCUGCUCUCUUCUGAGGUCCUCAGUUCAUUCAAGUUGCUGGGCCCGGUGGUAAAGACGAUGAAGAUUAUAGGCUAUUCGUCACCUCUACAUGUGGAAGGAAGAGAUUGUUUGGCAUGGCACUGAUCACUAUGUGUAUUAACGGGGAAGUUUAUCCCCAGGAGAAAAGAAAAAACCAGCUGUGUGAAUGGAACUUGGAGAAAGGGCACAACCAUCAGACGAAGUGGGAGGAAGAAACAUUAACUUCAACAGCUGUUUCUUGACCCCGGCUGUCAGUCUUCCCAAGAAUAAAUUUUGGAGAGUCCUAUUUGAAACAAAGAGGGAGUUUUUGAGGAGAGAAAAGUUGGUUGGUUCCAGGGAGGCCGCCCAAAGAAGCAGGGAACAAGAUGUUUGCAGUUACCACGCAGCCUGCAAGCCUCUGCCGGGUGCAGGGAUGGAGCAAAGUAACUUGAAAGCUCCCCUCUCGGCGCCCUGUGCCUACAGCUUCCCCCCCUAACGUGCGCCCAGAUCCAGCGCCGGUGGUAAGAGCCGUAGCUCGACUACAGUAAUUCCCCAGCUCGGGCGGCUUGAAACUGCUCGGGCUGAAUAGCAUUUGCUGUUCCGUCCUGCGGCCGCCUCCCGCCGCCGCUGCCGCGCUCCCUGCAAAGCAGCUCUCAUUAUCCCGGAAGUUGUGCUGACACAGUCUCGCUGCCACCAGAAGUUUGUCAACAUCAAACUUCUCCUGUGUGGGGUACGUUCACCUUCCACGAGUAUUUAAUCGAGCCAACAAGCAAACAAACAAACCCAAAUAAACCUGCCCGUGAUGUCAUGGUCUUUUUUUU